rnacentral:rRNA from 1 species
AUUGAACGCUGGCGGCAGGCCUAACACAUGCAAGUCGAGCGGAUGAAGGGAGCUUGCUCCUGGAUUCAGCGGCGGACGGGUGAGUAAUGCCUAGGAAUCUGCCUGGUAGUGGGGGAUAACGUCCGGAAACGGGCGCUAAUACCGCAUACGUCCUGAGGGAGAAAGUGGGGGAUCUUCGGACCUCACGCUAUCAGAUGAGCCUAGGUCGGAUUAGCUAGUUGGUGGGGUAAAGGCCUACCAAGGCGACGAUCCGUAACUGGUCUGAGAGGAUGAUCAGUCACACUGGAACUGAGACACGGUCCAGACUCCUACGGGAGGCAGCAGUGGGGAAUAUUGGACAAUGGGCGAAAGCCUGAUCCAGCCAUGCCGCGUGUGUGAAGAAGGUCUUCGGAUUGUAAAGCACUUUAAGUUGGGAGGAAGGGCAGAAAGUUAAUACCUUGCUGUUUUGACGUUACCAACAGAAUAAGCACCGGCUAACUUCGUG